GGUAGUAACACGUACGAACAUACUCCCAAGUCGGGCAUAGCUCGCCGAAAGGCGGGGUAAUUCCCGAUGGUCCCUCCGGGGUAAAGAUUUAUCGCUUGGGAAGCGGCGUGCGCAGUAUCAGCUUGUUGGUAAGGUAACGGCUUACCAAGGCUACGACGCUUAGGGGAGCUGAGAGGCUGACCCCCACCGAUGGGACUGAGACACGGCCCAUACUCCUACGGGAGGCCGCAGUCGAGAAUCUUCCGCAAUGGGCGCAAGCCUGACGGAGCGAUACAGCGUGGUGGAUGGAGUGCUUCGGUACGUAAACACCUUUUAUGGGGGACGAAAUCAUUGACGGUACCCCAUGAAUAAGGGGCUCCUAACUCUGUGCCAGCAGGAGCGGUAAUACAGAGGCCCCGAGCGUUAUCCGGAAUCACUGGGCGUAAAGGGUGUCGAGGCGGUCAGAUUAGUCGUGUGUAAAAUCCGGGGGCUCAACCUCCGGCCGGCAUGCGAAACGGUCUGACUUGAGGAUGGGAGAGGUGCGUGGAACUCACGGUGUAGGGGUGAAAUCCGUUGAUAUCGUGGGGAACACCAAAGGCGAAGGCAGCGCACUGGCCCACUCCUGACGCUCACACACGAAAGCCAGGGUAGCGAAUGGGAUUAGAUACCCC
rnacentral:rRNA from 1 species